AGCUUCACACAGUGGCAAAAUCAUAGCCAGUGAGAUUAUCCAAGGUGCAAUUAUUGCUAAUUGAAAACUUUUCCCAAUACCCCGCCAUGACAACCUGAAAUACAGUGGGCAUUGGAAAUUGUUGACAGUCUAUAUGGAGA